AUGAGUGAAACCAGGCAGGGGCAACAGUACGGUUCAAAUGAACCACCAUCGCAUCAUCAACCCACCAAAUCUGGAAAUUCUAACUCCUCUUCUAAUGGCGCAAAGACGAUGAUGAAGGGUCUAAAACCGAUGGUACUUCCAAAAAGAGGAGCUGUGGUGAAGAAGGUUAUUAAUGGCCUUUUUACUUCCUCCGCCACCGAUGGUUAG